GUUGGUUCCAAGUUGAGUAGUGGACCGCUGGGGCCUGUGCGAAAGCUGGGCCUCACGGGCCGUAAUGUGGCAGGCACAGCGUGAGGCUGGCUUCACAGAGCAGCGACAACUGCCCGCUUCCAACGGUGGAAGGAUAAC
rnacentral:SRP_RNA from 1 species